rnacentral:rRNA from 1 species
CCUACGGGUGGCAGCAGUGAGGAAUAUUGGUCAAUGGAUGAGAGUCUGAACCAGCCAAGUAGCGUGAAGGAUGACUGCCCUAUGGGUUGUAAACUUCUUUUAUAUGGGAAUAAAAUGUUCCACGUGUGGGAUUUUGUAUGUACCAUAUCAAUAAGGAUCGGCUAACUACGUGCCAGCAGCCGCGGUAAUACGGAGGAUCCGAGCGUUAUCCGGAUUUAUUGGGUUUAAAGGGAGCGUAGGUGGAUUGUUAAGUCAGUUGUGAAAGUUUGCGGCUCAACCGUAAAAUUGCAGUUGAAACUGGCAGUCUUGAGUACAGUAGAGGUGGGCGGAAUUCGUGGUGUAGCGGUGAAAUGCUUAGAUAUCACGAAGAACUCCGAUUGCGAAGGCAGUUCACUGGACUGCAACUGACACUGAGGCUCGAAAGUGUGGGUAUCAAACAGGAUUAGAUACCCUGGUAGUC